CCUACGGGUGGCAGCAGUGAGGAAUAUUGGUCAAUGGACGAGAGUCUGAACCAGCCAAGUAGCGUGAAGGAUGACUGCCCUAUGGGUUGUAAACUUCUUUUAUAUGGGAAUAAAACGUUCCACGUGUGGGAUUUUGUAUGUACCAUAUGAAUAAGGAUCGGCUAACUCCGGGCCAGCAGCCGCGGUAAUACGGAGGAUCCGAGCGUUAUCCGGAUUUAUUGGGUUUAAAGGGAGCGUAGGUGGAUUGUUAAGUCAGUUGUGAAAGUUUGCGGCUCAACCGUAAAAUUGCAGUUGAAACUGGCAGUCUUGAGUACAGUAGAGGUGGGCGGAAUUCGUGGUGUAGCGGUGAAAUGCUUAGAUAUAACGAAGAACUCCGAUUGCGAAGGCAGUUCACUGGACUGCAACUGACACUGAGGCUCGAAAGUGUGGGUAUCAAACAGGAUUAGAUACCCCAGUAGUC
rnacentral:rRNA from 1 species